rnacentral:rRNA from 1 species
AGUAAUGUCUGGGAAACUGCCUGAUGGAGGGGGAUAACUGCUGGAGACGGUAGCUAAUACCGCAUAACGUCGCAAGACCAAAGAGGGGGACCUUCGGGCCUCUUGCCAUCGGAUGUGCCCAGAUGGGAUUAGCUAGUAGGUGGGGUAACGGCUCACCUAGGCGACGAUCCCUAGCUGGUCUGAGAGGAUGACCAGCCACACUGGAACUGAGGCACGGUCCAG